GUCAGUUUCUGGGCUGGUUCGGGCACGCAGAGGGGUGCAGACGUGAGAGAGCGCGAGGAGUCAAUGGGGGACACGGGCUGGGAACUGUGGGUGCGUGUGUGGUACGGUGAGGAGGACCAAAGACCAUAGAAACUGGCGGACUCGCAGCGCAGAGCGGUGGGAGGAAGGCGAUGGGUUUUCCGCGUUUCAGCGCGCAUGCGUGUCACUGCCUGGAGGACCAAACACCAUAGAAAUUGGCGGGCUUGCGGCGCAGAGCGUUCAGAACAGGGAGCACAACAGCAUCACAGAGCACCACUGCUGAUUCAGUGUGGCCUUGAUGUGCACCGGCCUUUCCUGUGUGGUGUGAAGAAGAAGCCUGCAAUACCUCAGCUUCCAAGAGAUAAGGCCUCACAUCUUGCACACAGCAUCCAAAUAACCUUUUCAAAAGCAUUACUGGUGGGACACACAUGCAUUUCAGGGCCUAUGGAGAAGAAGCUUGUCAGUUUAUCCAGUCUUUUUCAAUAGGCUCCCAGCUCAGUCUGACAGCAAGCAGUAUUCCCAGUCUUACGGCAAUUAGAGAAGAGAAAUAUCCUUUGUGUUAGCGUUUUUCAUUCUGCUGGCCAGAAAGUUUGUUCCAAGUGUUGAAGACAAAAACAAAGCCUUCAUUGAGGCUAAUGGGGAGAGUGCCUCAUUCAUGACAGAAGGCAAAAAGGAAUUGGGAAGAUAAUAUGACAUUUUGCAGGCAUGCGAGUCUCAUUGAAUAGCAGUGUAAGAGCACUUUUCUGAGCACUAUCCAGCACUAUCCAUAGGAACUGCUCUGCAGUCCGUACACAAAUGUCUGUGCCAAUCUGAAGCAGCUAUUCUGUCAGUAAUUACAAAGUAAACACACAGCUGUGACACAUCCAGAUACCACUGGCUGCAUCCAAGUGUCCAUCGUACAGAAGCACUCUUGAGGCACUCUCAGGCACAGAAGUUUUUUAGUUCCUAAAGGUACUUUUCAUAGGAGGUGUGGAAGAAAUGUGAGAAAGAGGUGUCUUAGAUGAGAGGAGACGACUGGACUAUGUGGAUCAAGGGAGAAGAUUUCAUCGGCCUGAUGAUUCUCUGCUGGAAAUCAGUGGAUGACUCAAAGCAAAGACAAAAGGCAGCCAAGUGUCAGACAGCAAAAGACAACACCGUUUUUCUUUCUUCAUGACAGCUGGGAUGAACAUUUGCAAGAUACGGAUCCAAAUGUUUCUGUACGUAAAACUGUUUGUCACCUGGUGAUCAGCUAUGCCUGUUUGUUACCAUGACCAAACAGUGAGUCCUCAUUUUGAUUCAUCAAGAACUUUGCCCUUUGUUGUGAACUAAAGUACUACUAAAACCUGACAGAGCAAGAACUAAGUUGUUCAAAAGGAUACUGAGUCAUGGUGCAGGAAACACUGAUUAUUAUGCCCAACUUGUUUUCACAUACAUGUGUGCAUGUGCAUAAUAGGUAGAUGUAAGCUCAUUGCUUGCCUUGCAAGGAACUGCUGUAUUUUGUAAGACACAUAGCAAGCAACUUCUCUUAUAUAGCAAGCAUAAUAAGUAAACUUCCCUUUGGUUUCAAUUUCUACAUCCAAAAUAUUUACAGGGACUAUUGAAAUCUGUCUAUCAACUCCUAGGCAAGGCCCUAGACAUUUUUCUAGCUGUUGCGUAAGAAACAACAAAUCUCAGUUUAUGUGGUGCAUGAGAGCUGGCACUGAUUUUCCUAGGAAGCACUGCAACUGUUCUGGUUUGGGCUGCGUUAGAGUUAAUUUUUCAUAGUGAGUGGUAUAUGUCCCUUAAAGAUAAUGCCUUUUCACAGUAUCUGUCUUAUUUUUAAAAGCAUUAAUUAAGAGGAAAGGCAGACAGCAGUAAAAGUAUGUCCACAAUUAACAUAGGAAAAUACUAAGCUCAUGUAAAAUGACUGUAGCGUGCUUUCUGUUGCUUUAUGAUGGAAAACAGAUCUGUACUAUCUGCACACAAAAAGGAGGAAAGCAUUAUUUAAAGUCUCUAAUAGCAUAUUAAGCUGGAGGAAAUUUUAAAUGAUUAGCCUAAUUAGUCUACUUCUUAACAAGGAUCAAGUAAGUUACUAAUGUAGAAAUGAGUAAGGCAGAAGGUUUGUACCUUCUAAGAAGCAUGGCUGCCCUUUAAGCUGCCAUCUGAAUCCACAGUCUCUCCUCUUAGAAUAAGGAAGUUAAGAUCUGGCACUGCUUCAGUUCAAUAAAAAACAAAAUAAUUUGGAUCUUGAUCCCCAAUUUAUCCUGUAGCUAUCUGAGAAAUUCUUUCCUUAUUAACAGAGAAAGAAGGAAGUAACUGUAGAAACUGCUUUAAGGCAGCUGCCUAGAAUUUUUCGUGGUAAUGAGCUCUGUUCAUAGACUUUAAAAAGUUUAAUUAAAUACAGAUGAAUGACAUUUCCUACUUUCGUAAAACUAUAGAUCGGCAUUUGUAAGAGCUCAUGAAGGCAUCCAGUCCUUGUCCUAAUUAGCCACGGUAGUUUAAAGCAAAAAAAAGUAGUGCUGGAGGGGGGGGAGGGGAUCUACUGUUGAUUUAUCAAUUAUGGUAUUUUCUAUUAUACCAAAAUGAUGCAGAAAGGCUUUGAAAUCCAUCAUCCCAAUGCCAGUUUCUGCAGUUAUGAAAAAAAUGCCUAUACUGACAACAAAGUCCAUUUCAUGCUCUUGUAUUCCACUUGACCUUCUAUCUUCUCAGUUUAAGGAUUGUGGCCUGAGGCCACCGCCGUGUCAGUCACCCACAUGUUAACUCUGGCAACAAACCAAGUAUUGAAUUCUUGCAGAAACGCCGAAAAGAUCGUUAGAAAAAAAGAAAAGCUUAUGUGUACAUACAUACUAUGGUAAGUCUACCUCAUGAGUCUCAUGCUGCACCUUUUGUGAGAUCUUCAGCAAAUAAAUGAAAUCUUAUGCAAAAGUUCACAUGUGGUUUAACGAAAUGUACAUAAAAACAAUUGUCUGCUUACUCACAAGGAGCACUUCUGGCUGCACUUUUGUCGAGAGAAUGAUUCUCAAUGGGCCCCAUGAAUCUCAGCCUGAGUGUUGGCUGAUACAAGAAGGUGAACAUGUAACACAAUGAGAUCUACUGCUGCACAGCUGCCUCCCAGCAGAGAAUGCAUUACAGUGCUCACGUGCGUUUGUAUGCUUGCAAACUCAGUCAGCUCAGUGGUAUUUGUUUUCUAUUAUCUAGAAGAGCAUUUGAGUGAGCAAACCCAGAAGGUGGGUUUGAGGACGGACCGGGCUGCAAGCUUCCAACCUGCGUAGUACAGAAGGACUCUCAGCAACUGGCCCAAGAGGAAACUGAAGAUGACUUGGUCCUGUGCUGUAGUAACAACACUUCACUGCUUUGGAAAAACAAUAAAAAGAAGAAAGAAAAAAGAAAGCAUUGAGAGUUCCAACACCAUAAAAAGAUAAGAAACAGAAUGUAUUUUGAGUGAAAGUGGAAAAGUCUUGUGUUACGCAACACAGUCAUGCAGAAAUCUCCAAAACAGGUGUGUUCAUAACAGCAUGGCACUGAGCAUGGAUUAAUUCAUUACAGCUGAGAUACUCCUAGGUUCUGAUUGGAAUAGUUUGUGGGUACAUCUUCUCACAGAUGUUCCAGCUCAGAUAUGUUACUGCCUCAGGCCUGCACUUGUACCAUUGGUUCUUGUGGUUUGGCUGAACUGGAGCAAGAGGAACAGAAAGACACAAGGAUUGUUUGCAAAGAAAAACAUAUAGAGGGGGAAAGUAGAAGCAGUUAAACAAAUAAAGAGGUAUUGAAGAGAAGGAAAAUCAAUGAGUCAUAAGUGAACAUGGACGAACUUUCAGAGGAAGUGAUGCAUGCAUGUAGAUGGAUAUUGGAUAUUACAUAGAGGGUAUUUCAAUGCUGGCAUUUGAUUUGAAAGAACAACCAGGCAGGUCCACUUUCUCUCCCUACUAAUUUACAUGAGAUUACUAACUCUCCUCUAAUUUGUAUUAGGACAUUUCAAAGCUCUGCGUGAUUUCCAAAGGCAAUUUGUGCCAAUGGGAAGGUAUACACACAGCAUAUGAAUGAGUACAAGGGAACUUGAUCAAAAUUCCAGUCUCAUGUAUUUUUUCUGAACACUUGCUGCACUCCUUUCAGAUCUGGAAAAUUGCAGGCUGACAUAUCUCUGGAUUUUUUAUGUUGUGCUUCUUUUCUCCUAAGAUCUACGCCCUACUGGUUCUGGGAAACUUGUGACCUCUGCAUUUUUAAUUAGAACUUGUAACAUUUUCCAUAGCAACAUAUUUUGAUGUCGCAAAUACAGAACCUGUCAAAUCAAACAAUUUCAAAGUGCAAAGCUACGGCCUUCUGGUCAAUUGAAGUCCAAGUACAUGAAAACACUGAGAUGCAAGGAAGACUGAAAAUUAUUUGUUGGUUAACUCAUAGCUUUGAUCUUCAUAAUUAAUAAAUCAGUACAGAUAUAAAAGAAUUACAUUGCAUGCUGGAGUGGUUUAGAUGAACUCAGUACUAAUUUCAUCGCACGUGAGAGCAGAUAGAAUCCAUCUGUCUGACUGGUGUGCCAGUACUAACAUGGUACAAAGGAGAGGAUCUAUUUCUAGGAAAUAGUCGAGAUGUGGAACAAACUUCACUCACAUGAUGAGCUGUGUGAGCAGGAAGUGAAGAAAACAGAAAUCCUCUGAAACGAGGCCUGAGCUCAGAUUUCAACAGACCCACAAUAUGAGCAGGAAUAAUAAUAAUGGGUUAAGAAAAGCAGUGUAACUUAGCACUUAAAUAUGUAUAUUAAAAAUAAGUCAUUUAUUUAUGAUACAUGCCCUGCAAGUGCCAAAUAAUACUUCUGUCAAGUCUGAAGAACAUAAACUGAGAAUUUUUGUCAUUCAGAUAUACUUAUCUUUCCUUUUCCUGCUUUAAGCUAAGACUAAUGGCCAAGGAAGUCAUAUUUUCCUGCCAUUACUAAGACUGCACAAGGUAAUUUGCCCCUCUGCAAGGACAUCCACGUGUAACUGUUAGUCACACCAGCAGCCACGAGAUAUGGAUAUGAUCAUCAAGUCUUAUUAAAACAAAUGCUGAAUACCAUGAACCUUUCAGGAGGAAAAGGCAAGUGUCAAUGUGGAAUGCGGUAAGAACUUUCUUGUUUCUGGUAGCAUUGGGUAUGUGACUGCUAUCCCUUUUCUUAUUCCAUCUAUUUCCACUUUUUACAAAAAAAAGCAAAAAACAAAAAAACAACCCAAAACAACCCAACCCACUGGAAUAUUAAGUUAGUAUUAAGUUAAAUGUGGUAUGUUUUAACCUUGCAUUGCAGAUAAGGAAUUCCUGGAGUUCCUCAAUCCUGCAUGAUUGCAGGCAGCUCACCUGAGUGUGCAUAAGGGAAAGGGGAACAAAAAUAUAAGAUUUUUCUGUUUCCUACCAAUUAUCUGAUAUUUCCCCUCUACUGUCUUUGGUGUAAAAGAAAACCAAAGUUCAGCCUUCUAGGAAAUGUAUUCUGGUAACCUGAAAGACUUUAUAAAUAGAGUGCACAAAUAGAUGACAGUAAUUCCAUGACAUAGAUUUUCUGCUUUAGAAUGAAAUGCUUCAUUUGAAAAAGCUCCUAAAAUUGUUAGAACAGUAAUUAAAAAAAAAAAAAAAGUUUAAACUCCACAAUUGAAUACAAAAAACGUUGCUGUGAAGGUUUUGAUUUCCAAGAAAUCCAUUUUAAACUUAUUUACAAAGUUUACAUAGAAGAAUAGAUCUGCUGCUAUCUAUAACAUUCACUUCUGUAGUAGAACAGCUAAUUUGCGACUAUUGGAUGAGAGAUACAGAAAGAGUCACUUUAGUGAAAGAAAAAAAAAACAUAUUAUUUUAAGGACAAAUAGUAAAAAAUGAUUGUUUUGGAGUUUAGAGAAACAGAGUUUGAAGGAUUUUGCCCUCCAAUGCAGACUGCUCAUGCUUAUGCUGUAGCAAAGGAGGAGCAUCUUGACUACAAGAGUCUUAGUGGAAGAAAACUGGCAAUGCCUUUAUAAAAAUGUAUUUAAUUUCUGUGUUUGCAGUUUUCCCAGCUUCAUCCCUAGGUCCUGGCCUCAAGGGCCCUAGAGAUGUCACAGUUUUAAACAGUCUUAUAAAUCUAGGAGGGGAAAUGAGCUGUCUCUCAUCUUAAACAGAGAGCCUUGGAGAAUGUCUAUGGGGCUUUACCAAUGGAGCUGCCGAAAACAAAGCUAUGAUUCAGGGGUCUCUGACCUUUCCCAGCCCUCCUCCACCAGUGUCAGCCUGCAGCCUGCUCUUUAAAAGUUUCUGCUCACCCAGGGAGCAAAAUUAGAAAUCUUCUCCAGGGACAAUUUUUCUUCCAUCAAGCCACUCAUCAGCCCACUGAGGCAUGGAAACCAAAAAGGAAAAAGUGAGUUAAAAGAAUGUAUGUCUCUUGGUAAGGAUUUCCCACAGCAGAGUGUAAGUGUCCAGACUACCUCAUCAGCAGAGUCCCAGCCUUUACUAUACGUCUUGGUAUUCAGUCUGUACUGUAGUGGUAUAGAAAAGUGCCAAGCACUGUGCAGGUGAUGCAUGCAUCAAUACAGCAGAUGUGGAGGUGUGUUUGAACUGCUUAACAUCAGCACUUACCAAAUGUUGAAGACACUCUAGCCCCUACGACAAAUAAAAGCAUUCAUUCAGAUGUGCAUGGCAUUUCAGGAAUGGAAUCAUUAUUAUCUUCUCCGAAAAUGUUUUGUCUUAUGUUUAAUAUAAUAUAAUAUAUAUUGCUUAUUGGAAACAAAUCCUUGUUAGUCUCGUUGUUUGUUUGUUUCCUAAUUGUGGAUUACCACAGAACAGGGUACAGUUCAUAAAUACCUCAAAUAUCUGAAAGGUGAUUGCAGCAGAGCAGGGCUGCUAUCUUCUCACUGGUGGCAGGAUGAGGAGAAAUGGCCUCAGGCUGCACCAGGGGAGGUUUAGGUCGGAUAUCAGGAAGAAUUUCUUUACAGAAAGGGUUGUUAAGCUCUGGAAUGGGCUCCCCAGGGAGGUGUUGAGUCACCAUCCCUGGAUGUGUUUAAAAUCCAUCUGGAUGUGGUGCUCAGGGACAUGAUUUAGUGGAGGGUUGUUAGAGUUUGGGUAGUAUGGUUGGGUCUUGAUUGGACUCAAUGAUCUUUAAGGUCUUUUCCAAGCAAAUUCUAUGAUUUCCGGAGCAAUUCUAUGAUUCUGUCAUUUAAUAUGGAGAAAAUUCAAGUAAACUAAAAAUCAGAUUUAAAAGAUAACCUGGUGCAAUGUACUUUUAUUUAUUAAUUUGUUUAUUUUUAUUCCCCAGGCCUUUUUAAAGUUAACCCUAGGAAACACCCCACGUUGGCGACUCCUUGUAAUUCAUGUCAAUGUUCUUUCAGCAGCACAGUUGCUGCUUCCACGCCGUGAGCAUCUCCUGUAUUUGCUUUAGAACUGCUUCCUGCUGAUGCGUUAAGCACAGGAAGUGAAAGGGUCUGUUGUCGAUUCCAUAACUACCUCCC
ensembl:lncRNA